UCUAGUGUUUUCUCCGAUUCGAGGCCAUGUCCGACUCUGAAUUCCCGCCGCCGUUGCCGAUUCAGUUCAUAGUAUCUCGGUCGGUUUAGUUUUACAAUCUGGAGUCCAAGUUUGAGCUGAACCAUUAAUUUCAUGGCAUAGGGACCAUAAAAACCAGACUUCCCGCAGGUUCUUAUGGAUUCCGAAUUUCAUGGCAGAUCCUAAUAUUCGGCGAAAUCAACUGGAGAUCAGGUACACGUUUUAAUAGCUAAUUUUGACUGGAUCAAGUUGAUUCAGGUUGGGCUUACGCUCGCUGAUUUGGAAGGUAAUCUUCCGGAUUUGGGCACGGACAAGUUCUACAGAUGGGAGUUUAAUUUUAGGGAUUUACUAAAUUAUGUGAGGGUGUUCUUGGUGCCUACGGUUUCUCGAUGAGAUUCUUCCCCGAUGUGCACGGCGGCGUUAACAGGGUUUGAUUAUAUUCUUAAUGUGAAACGUGAAAUCGGGAGGAGUUACAUGGUCGGCUCAGAUAGCUUGGUGACCUUGAGCGCGAAGUUGAGGGUAGUAUACUUUAACAAUACUAAUCUUGAUAAGUAUGCUGGUAUUUUGUAUUGUUUAGAGCAUUUGUCUACAGCUAGAAAAUCUUCAUUUUAACAGUACAUAUCUUCCUGAGCGAUGAUUUGCACGCAUCAUUCCUAUCAAUUCCAUUUUAGUUAUGAACUCACGAUUGUCUUCCUGAGCGACAAUUUGCAUUCAGUUGGCUGAUAUUUAUUUUUUCAACCACCCAGUUGCUCCUAAAUCUGUCGAAAUAUAAAUGUUUGAAGGGUAUUGAUCAUUGAUAGGGUAAUGGAGGUUGUGAGAUUAUAGGUAAUAUCGAUGCAUUGGAUUUAAUGUGGCAUAGCUAGGGCAGUGGAGUUGUACCCUGGUCUUAUCGGUUGCAAUUUUAUUUCUCUUUUGAGUUAGAAGAUGAUAUUUUGGUUUGCUAUUAACUAUUUAACUCUUCUAGUCUCCUUAGUCAUUCGUUCCUUCAUUGUAUUAUUCAAGAUAACAAAUAUUGAAUGUGCACAAAUAUCUUUUAAGGCGGAAAUGUAAAGAAGGUUAAAUUACAAAUUUUGUCCCUAUUGGAGAAAGUUAGAAUUCAUCCAAAACCAUAGGGACCAAAUUUGUACUUAUAACGUUUAAAGAAUUUGGUUUUAGAUGAAAGUUGUAGCUGUUGGGUUAUAAACAUUGGAUCUGGUGCACUGCUAGUAGAAAAAAGGAGAAUAAAACAGGGGAGUUUUCCAUAGUAUGUUUGUUACAAUCCCUUAGCAUGUUCUUAAUGUUUCUAGCAUCUUUUACGUUGAAGAUUUAAAUUGUACCCCAUAGAGACUAAUGUAACCUUUGGCGUAAAGUAUCUGCAAUCAGACAUGGUGACAAUUCUUUUGGAUUAUUACUGCAACAACCUUCUCAGAACACUAGGACCUCCUGAUUUUGUAUCGCUAAAUCUAAUUGUUUGUUUUAUCCAUUCUAGUCUAUCCUCUGAAAUCUGGAAAUUAUACGAGGGUAAAACUUCAAGGUCCGUUGAUGAUGCUCCUUUGAAUUUCAAUUCUGCAUAUCCUUGCCAUCAAAUCUUUUUUUUUCCUUGAGUCGAACAAAUGAAGGGGUUUGAGCCUUCAACUCCAAGAGAAGAAGUAAAUUCCUUUUUAACAUUUUCAUCAGCAAUAUUUUAAAAAUCAAGGGGCUGAUUUUUUACUCAAGUAAUAAGUUGAACGAGCCAAUGGAUUCUAUCAUUGAUGAUAAUUGUGAUGUUGAGAUUUGAGAACGACCGUUGGAAUCUCUGUUCUCGAAGUGACAAUAGAUGGAGGUUGAGGCUUAUGGCUUGUAAGCCUAACCCUUUUGGAAGGAGAUCUUGAUGCGAACUUUAGUUUGAAAAUGUUGGUCAUGGAUGGCAUCCAAUGCUUAGAAGAAACCUCAAUGACAGGAAACUUUGGGAUCAGCUUGUUGCAGACUUGUGAUAGAACCCAAAUGUAUUGAUAGGAUUGCUGUUAGGGUAGAAUUACAAACAUGGCUAGGGAAUUGAAGGUACAUUAGUAAUUAGUAAGGAAGUUGUUAGGGUGGUUUGUUAUAAAUAGGGUGCGGGGAAAGGGUAGACAAUUGUUUAGUUGGUCUAGGACUUGAGUGAUCUCAAGAACGAGAGGGUCCAAGUACUUGGAGGGUUAUAUUGUAUUUCCAUUAUAUUUUAUAUUUCAAAACAUUUAGGUUCUAUCAACUUUCUAGAAUUCUUGUUACCAAAAUAAAUGAUUGGAGAAUAUCAUUAGUGAAGUAAUUAAUUUUGCAUCUCUACGUUCCUCAUCAUUUUUUUAAACAUUCGGCGCAUUCAACAGUUUAAUUUUUUCUCCCGAAAUUCCUCCUUGUUCUCUCUCUAAACAUUUAUUGGGCUAUUUUGUUUGCAAUUUUUAUGAGGCAGAUAUGGACAAGUAUUAUUGUAUAUGCAUUUCAAAACACGAAGCAUAGGAACUUACUGCUGGAAAUGAUCCUGUAAAUUGAUUCUACUCUGAAAUACUGGCAACUCUGAAGUCCUUUGAGUUGAGUUCAUACAACUGUGAUUUGGGUUCGAAUUUACAAACUAGUUUUUGUGGAUCUCUGCAGGCUUAGCUUUCUGGUUAUGAAAGUCUACCUAAGGAUGUUGAAUGUGCCUUUUGAGGUUGACAGAUCGUUUCUGAUUUUUCAGCAUCCUUCUGGGUAGCAGAGUCAUUACGUUUUUUUGGGCUAAAAAAGUGAUAGGCCCCAAAUUACUGGGGCGUAUGAUCGUAAGCGUUGUGAGGAAGGAGGGAACUGUAUGAGGGGUUGUUUUCAUGUAGGUGUGGAGCCCAAAGGGUUUAUUAGUGCGUGUUGAGGCCUUGAGGGAGAAUGGAAAUUAAUAGGCGAGAUUUGGGUAGACCCGAAUGACAUCUUCCUCACCUCUAUUUUUCUUAAAAGAAACAGUUUUGGUUAAACUACCAUUUUGUACCUUGGGUUUUAUUCUAUUUUAGCUUCUUUACUUUUAACUGACCAAAUUUAGCAUAUGUACUUUUGAUAAAUCCUAAAACUAGUUCAUGCUAUUAGUUUGGUCAACUUUUUUUUAUAAGAAAAACAGUCUCAUUUGGCUUUCUAUCUAUAAAUUUUGGAAACAUAUUCACAUUGUGUUUCUCUUGCAUAAAAGUUAUUAUUAUUAUUAUUAUUAUUUAACCAAUUUCAAUAAAAAUUAUCUUCAUGUAUUUAAUUGUUGGAGCUUCUUGUUCAAUCGCUCUGGUUGUUCAACCUAUGCCUAGAGGAUGGCCUUCUGCAUCGAAGCAUCCGUCAUAAUUAGUGCCAGUUGGAGAAAUUUUUGGUGUCCUACUAAGUAUAUUCCCUUGUGCUGGUUUUUAUGCCUCGAGUUCUUUUAUUCCUCUCUUGUAAUUAUAGUAGAGUUAUGUUCCAACAGAAAGAAAAGAAUGAUUGUGAUUUUUCAUCUCAUGUCCAGAUGAGUUUAGUCCGGUUGUUCUCUGAUUGUUAUUUGGAUUGUGGAUGGUAAAUUUUCUACGUUACUGCUAGUUUAUGAUCGAUCGGGCUUCAGUUUAAUUGUGUUUUAUGACUGAUUCUUUUGUGCCAGUUUUCAGAUUCUUAUACGUGGAUGAUAUCAAUGAAUGAAGGUGUUAUUUUCUACGGCCUUUCGUCAUCACGCUUGUUACUUCACAGGUUCCUUCCUUUGUCCCUUUGCUCCUAUAUUUGAUAUUAAGGAUAAUUGGUUUUUUAAUUUUUGCUACACGUAGCAAAAUAGUAAUUGAUUUCAAUAUUUUCUAUCAUAUGAAUUUGAUUUAAGUAAACGUCAUUUAGAAAUACUAGUCCAAUUAGAGAGAGAUUGGUACCAUUCUUGGGCGAGUUGGGAUUCGAAUCCCUGUGGUUUCAUCUCCCUUUUUCUUUUGAGUGUUGUAAUCUAAGCCUAGUUUAUAUUAAGACAACAUAAUAUAAUU